CGUGGCUUCCGGAGCUAACGCGUUAAGUAGACCGCCUGGGGAGUACGGCCGCAAGGUUAAAACUCAAAUGAAUUGACGGGGGCCCGCACAAGCGGUGGAGCAUGUGGUUUAAUUCGAUGCAACGCGAAGAACCUUACCUGGUCUUGACAUCCACAGAAGAAUCCAGAGAUGGAUUUGUGCCUUCGGGAACUGUGAGACAGGUGCUGCAUGGCUGUCGUCAGCUCGUGUUGUGAAAUGUUGGGUUAAGUCCCGCAACGAGCGCAACCCUUAUCCUUUGUUGCCAGCGGUUAGGCCGGGAACUCAAAGGAGACUGCCAGUGAUAAACUGGAGGAAGGUGGGGAUGACGUCAAGUCAUCAUGGCCCUUACGACCAGGGCUACACACGUGCUACAAUGGCGCAUACAAAGAGAAGCGACCUCGCGAGAGCAAGCGGACCUCAUAAAGUGCGUCGUAGUCCGGAUUGGAGUCUGCAACUCGACUCCAUGAAGUCGGAAUCGCUAGUAAUCGUGGAUCAGAAUGCCACGGUGAAUACGUUCCCGGGCCUUGUACACACCGCCCGUCACACCAUGGGAGUGGGUUGCAAAAGAAGUAGGUAGCUUAACCUUCGGGAGGGCGCUUACCACUUUGUGAUUCAUGACUGGGGUGAAGUCGUAACAAGGUAACCGUAGGGGAACCUGCGGUUGGA
rnacentral:rRNA from 1 species